rnacentral:sRNA from 1 species
UAGUUUCUAUUUUCUUUUU